rnacentral:rRNA from 1 species
UUGAAAAAGUUAUAAAUGAUAUUAAUAUUAAUAUAUGGAUACUCAUAAAUUUCAUAUAAUAUAUAUGUAUGAAAUCAUAGAUAUAUAUAUAAUAUAUGGGAGACUAAUAUUAUAGAAAGGAUAAAUAAGUAAGGCAUAAGCCGAUCCUAGCUAUAAAUAGUAUAUAGAAAACUAUGUGAAUUGAAACAUCUUAGUAACAUAUGUAAAAACCAAUAGGGCUAACAGUAGUAUCGGUGAGAGAAUCUGUUGUUGUAUACAAGUAAUACCUUGUGGUAUGAAUAUAGUAGUAUCUACUACUAAUACAUAAACUAUAAUAUUAAGUUAAAAGUACUGUAAAGGAAAGAGUCUUAUAUUAACUUAUAUUUAUAUUUAAUAUAUAAAUAUAUAGAAAAUAUUAUGAAAUAUAUUAAUAAAGAGCAACUAUAGUAUAGUGUACCUCUUGUAUAAUGGGUCAGUGAGUUAUCCUUAUAAGCGAAAUUAAAAUUAUAUGUUAUUAGAUAUAUUAUAUUUUUUAUAUGUAUAAAUAGUUUAUAAGGAUAGACCCGAAAGCACAUGAUCUAUAUAUGUAUAGAUAUAUUUUCAUCUUAAGGUGAAAGUAUGAUCAAAUAGGUAGAUGUAGCAAUAUCUUCUAAAGAUACGUGUAUAGUAGUGAAAGGCAAAACUGAUGUGCAGAUAGCUGGUUAUCUACGAAAUAUAUGUUAGUAUAGCCUUUAUAAAACCAUAUUUCCUGGUAAAGCACUUAAUACCAUAUGGGAAUUUAUUUAUUUACUAUAUGUAUUAAACCUCUGAACAGGUAUAAUAUGUGAUAUAAAGAGUCAGACUUAUUGCGAUAAGGUAAUAGGUCGAAUAGGGAAUAACCUAGACUAUGAAAUGAAGGUCCCAAAUCCUCAUUAAGUGAAUACAAUCCUAUGGGUCGAGAAAUCCCCUCUAUGUCUAUAUAUAAUAGACUUAUUUUGAUCAGACAAUUAGUCAGUGGGUUUGAUAAUAAUCACCUGUUAAAGAACAUGUAAAAAUGCACUAAUAGAAUAUAUAUCUAAUUAGAUAUAUGUAUCAAAAGAUAGGAACAAAUAUACGGGUCUAAAUGUAGGAACCGAAUCAUAGAUAUAAUAUAAGUAAUAUAUUAUAUAGUAGUAGAUUAUAUAGUGAUAAAAACUAUAAAGAGAAUGCUGACUUGAGUAACGAUAGGUAAUUUAGGAUUACCCCCACAUAAACAUAAGGUUUAACUAUAAAUUAACGGUAUCUAAGUAUAUAUAUGAAAAUAUAUAUAUGAUGAUUGAUAGUACAGGAAAAUGUAAUAACCGUACCGCAGUCCGACCCAGGUGUGUAAUAAUUUAUAUAUUAUAAUAAAAUAUAUAAAUAUCAUAUAUUAUAUAUAUGAUGAGUGGGAAUGGGUGAAGUAUCAUAAAUGAACUCGGCAAAUAAGGCAAGGCCUGAAUAGUACGACUGUUUACCAAAAACACAGCUUACUGCAAAUAGGAAACUAUCGGUAUAGUAAGUGAUAUCUGUCCGGUGUUAGCAAGAUAAAUUAUAAUUGGCUUAUUAACGACGGUCUUAUCAUGAGGAUCUGAAAGUAGCAAAAUUCAUUGGCAUAUAAUUGGUGUCCCGCAUGAAUGAUUAUACGAUACUAUAGCUGUAUCUAUGGUAUACCCAGUGAAAUAGUAAUCGCAGUGAAGAUACUGUGUAGUCAUAGAUUGACAAAAAGACCCUAUGCAGCUUUACUAUAUUCUUAUACUGUUUUAUACCUAAAUAUUUAAAUUUAAGAUAUUCAUUUAUCUGUUUAUAUCUUUAAGUAUAUAACUAACCUAACAACCCCCCUCCCCUCCAACCUUCAUAACUUCGCAUCGCUUCGCUCUGCGAAGCUAUGUGUAGUAGGUUGGUGGGGAGGGGGGGAGGCACCAUAUAAGAUGGUUAGUUUCGAUGGGGCGUCGGCAUCACAAAACAUAACUGAUGUGUCUAUAUGAUAUUUUUAUAUUCCCUUAUAUUUAUAGUUAUAUUUAUAUAUCUAGAUAUAAGGAUUAUAUCCUAAAUGGAUUAUAAUAGUAUAAACAAGUACAGAUACACUAGAUGGCAACUAGUAUAUAUUUUGAUAUGAUUUUAAUAAUCAUUAGAAAUAAAUUAAUAAGGAUAAUAACAUAACUGUGCUAUGAUAAUGACACAUACUUGUGGAAUUAGUACUUAAGUAUAGUAUAUUGAACAGGCAAUAUCAUUAGAAUUGAGUGUCGAUUACGGAUUAAAGUUACGCUAGGGAUAACAGGGUAAUAUCGCUAGAGAGUUGAUAUCGUCAGCGAUGUUUGCCACCUCGAUGUCGUCUAGACUUAUCCUAUUGGUCGUAGAAGCUAAUAAGGGUACGACUGUUCGUCGUUUAAAAAGUUACUUGAGAUGGGUUAAUUACGACGUGAGUCAGUAAUGAUUUUAUCAUCUAUGACGUUAAUAGUAGUAUAUAAUUAUAUGUGUACGAAAGGAUUAUAUAAUAUAGUCCAAUGGUUAAGAGCAUUUGAUUCUAAGCUAAGACUAUAAAGGAUAAAUAUUGAUAGCUUAUAAAAUAUUAAGCCUUAUAUACUCACUAUAUAUACAUUAAAGAUAAUAAUGUAAUAGUAAUAUAUCUAUGUAUCUAUACCCCUUAUACCUCAUAGUUCACUAUGAGAAUAUAAAGUAUAGAAAGGAUAUAAUAA